AGAACGAACGCUGGCGGCAGGCUUAACACAUGCAAGUCGAGCGCCCCGCAAGGGGAGCGGCAGACGGGUGAGUAACGCGUGGGAACAUACCCUCCGGUUCGGAAUAGCUCAGGGAAACUUGGAUUAAUACCGGAUACGGCCUAGCGGCGAAAGAUUCAUCGCCGGAGGAUUGGCCCGCGUCUGAUUAGCUAGUUGGUGGGGUAAUGGCCCACCAAGGCGACGAUCAGUGGCUGGUCUGAGAGGAUGAUCAGCCACAUUGGGACUGAGACACGGCCCAAACUCCUACGGGAGGCAGCAGUGGGGAAUAUGGACAAUGGGCGCAAGCCUGAUCCAGCCAUGCCGCGUGAGUGAUGACGGCCUUAGGGUUGUAAAGCUCUUUCGCUAGGGACGAUAAUGACGGUACCUAGACAAGAAGCCCCGGCUAACUUCGUGCCAGCAGCCGC
rnacentral:rRNA from 1 species